rnacentral:lncRNA from 1 species
GCGGGGGCCGGGCGGGGCCCGGGACGCCGGGGACCCUCCCAGCCGGGCCUGCUCACUCACCGCGCUCUGCAGCCGUCCCUGGCGCGGCCUUGCUCGCGGUGCCUCGGGGCGGGGCCUGGGUAGAGGCUGCGGAUGGUCCUCGACUCUGAGCUAACGGGGCGCUGCUGCCGCUGGGUCCCUUCCAGGGCAGCACCCCCCACGCGGAGGAUGUUGACUCCAACCUGGCGCUGGAUUCCAGCCUCCAACAGGCUGCACCUCUGUUCUGUGAAGCUGGCUGCUUUGGGGUACAGGGACCCGCCUCCCGACUUCCUAAUAAACAGAGUUCCUUGAUCAGAAGCAAUAUUGUGUGACAGUGAACAUGAUGGUGAAUAGGGCCAUUCAGCGGGUACAUAGAUACGGCUCUUGGCAGGCAUGGGUAAGGCAAGGAGAGCAAAUAACAACCCUGACUUAAUAUUCCAGGGAGGAAGCAGUCACUCCAUUCACGAUGGAAGGAGCCCAAUGUAAUUAUCAGGCGACCAGGUAUUUGGCUGGUCUUCCUAGGAAACCCGCAGUGGAGGGGCCCGGAGGCUUUGCAGUGCUGCAGCGGGCUGGGCUUUGCUGGGGCAAAUCCGUGCCCAGCCCUCCACGGCCACUUUGUUCUUGACUCCACUGAGCCAGCACUGGGGACGCUGAGCCACGUGAGGUCAUCCAAUCUGCCAGGUGGCUUAAUAACAUUCUCUGCAAUAGAGGCUUUUUGGGAAGAGUUCAC